GUAAUUGCUGCACAAGAGAGAAAAUUUAUUAGACAUUACAAGAAAAAUAACAUUAAGGGAUAUAAUUGUGGGUCUAAUAAAUUGUGUUGUAUAUGGGUCUACAAAGGAUUUAUUGCAUAUAAUGAUGACAUUAAAUUACCUGUAGAAAUAGGUACAAAUACCAAGGUAUUGCAUAUAAUUGGAUUAUUUUAACAGAAUAUAUGUAUAAGCUGUGUAAGCUGUAUUCUUCCACAAAGUGUUGUCAGCCGGCCGGAUAUCAAUUGAACUUGUGACCCGAGACACUACGUCACAUUUGGAGUGAGGGCCCGCACAGCGCUGGGAAUAAUACAGCAGCCGAGAUUGAAGUUCAAGUGACUACUUUUGUAACCAUAUUUGGGCAUAAUCCGGGACUCAGUCUUUAAUUGUAGUAUAAAACCCCAAAGACUGACGCCCCAAGUGCUUUUUAGAUCAUUCAACUAGCUGAGACUACUUGUAUGUCAGUCUAAUAGUCGGUACUGCCCGUAGCUUAGGCAGAUAACCACUUCUACGUUUCCAGCAAGAUCCUGUAAUACAUUUGUUAGUAAUAAAACUUCAUUUAUAUU